CUCCAGACUUGAGUCUGAACCUCUCUGAACCACCUACUGGACUUGACCACCUUUUUUCUGGACCUCAUAAAACCCUUAGAGCUAUUAGAAUUAGGCUUGUCUUAAAAGAACAAGCCUUUGUCCUAAACCUAGAGUUGUAAGAGAGGGAGUGGAUAGGAGAUGUAAGAAUUGAAUGAUCUCCCCAUCUGCCGUCCCCUAUUUAUACUACCAGAUGAGUCGCCAACAGAGAAGGCACGCCUCAUCUGGAAAGACAUAUCAAGUCCACGUAUCACUUAUCUGAAGUCUUUAAAGAGGACUCUUUAGGAUGUGAUACGUUGAUUUCUGCCUUCUCACGCGCACAUGCCCAGAAUGAGAUGCUUUUCGUGUCUCUUCUGACUUCAGAUCAGCGUGAAAAAUUGCCACGUAACACUUUAUUCAAAUAGGAAGGCCAUUAGCAAGUAUUGCCUAAUUUGAUAAGUGUUUAUAUGUGAGAAAGACUCUUCACCGGAGAGACGUAGAAGCACCUUCUCGCUGUCGCACGCGUGCACGUCCAGAGAAGGGCGUGAAAAGCAACCUUCCUUAAUCUGAUAAUUUUUCAAAUUUUUACCACGUGAUCGGUACUUAAAAUUGAUCCUUAUCAUGAAAAUUAUCAGAUAAAAAGUCGCUUAAGACUCCCUGAACAGGAGUCUUUGCGUCCCUUCACGCAUCCAGAAAAAUCUAUCGCGUGCGCAGCAAAGUUUCUAGAAUUUUUUUCACGCACAAUCUAAAGGAUUUUUCAUACUUUAAAAGGUGUGCUAGGUGGUUCAUCAUCUAAUCUCAUUGCCAUAAAAAAUAGAGACCCAAAACAGAAGGAUUCUUAGUCCUUCCCAGCAUAUUUGCGCCAAGAGUCCUUAAGUUAGACUCUAAAUUAGUUGGCAUGUACACCAGAUAUGGCGCCUCUUUUUGGCUACUUCUAGGUGGCUAGACUUGAUCCAAAUGCCCAUCAAAUUAGGCUAACAAAUCAACAAGGUCUGAGACCAAAUUGGUCUCCAAAGGAGCUAGGGAUUCCAUACGUGCUAGCAUGCUUAAUGGAACCCUGAUUGAAUCCAAAAUUCUAAUUAACCUUUUUCAAAAAGAUCCUUGGCCAAUUUUCAUGUGUGACCUAUUGGAUUCCACAUCUAGCCAGCAGUAGGUCCGGAUGCAAGUUGACCUAAUUUGAUUAAAAUUUAAUCUAAUCGAUUUAGGUCCAAUCGAGCUAACCCGAUUUCAGCAAUUAGAACUCUUUCUAAUUGAUGAUCGAAUUAAACUCUUUAAUUCGAUCAAGAACCUACAAGUCAAGAUUGACGUCUAGCAAUGUAUCAUGACUACCCAGAAGAUGUGAAAUUUGAUGAAAAUACCAAAUAUACCCUUCAGUGGCAAGUUACCGUGCAAUUCAAUCCUUCGAUCAUCCCCGCACUCUGAAUAUGUUCAUGUGCAUGAAACCAUGUCAAACUCAAACACAUUCAUAUCGAUCAAUUAACCAAUGAUGACUCCAAUGAAGGAGCAUUAGAAAUUCUUUCUAAUCUCCUUCCUACUUUUGGCCAAAAAAUUUUUUCUAAGUCAUGUAAGAAUGAGAAUACACAGGAUGCGAUCUCCUCUUACUAGGAGUGAUCGAUUCCAAUGUUGACCUACUUACAACCUUCAUACACACUCCAUAUCCAAAACACCCCGUACAUGUCUUAAUGCCAUG
rnacentral:lncRNA from 1 species